rnacentral:rRNA from 1 species
UACGAGGGGGGCAAGCGUUGUUCGGAAUUAUUGGGCGUAAAGGGCGCGUAGGCGGUGCGGUAAGACUGUGGUGAAAGCCCGAGGCUCAACUUCGGGUCGGCCAUGGAUACUCCUGGGCUCGAGCACUGUAGAGGCAGGUGGAAUUCCGGGUGUAGCGGUGGAAUGCGUAGAGAUCCGGAAGAACACCGGUGGCGAAGGCGGCCUGCUGGGCAGUGACCGUAAGGUCUUAAAAGCUGACGCUGAGGCGCGACAGCGUGGGGAGCAAACAGG